UUCAAUUGGGAAGUCUCUUGGUUUGAUUCAAGUCUUGGGUUUGGGGCUGUGAGAGCGGUCCAGACGGUAAGAGCUUUUGGGACUUUUGGUUUCAGAGAGGUUGAUUAUAAUUCCGGAUCUGUUAGAUCUAUGGUAUAACUGGAAGAAUAAAGUCUCUUCUUUGCUUGAUCUUGCCCCUUGGUUUGUAGAUGUUCUUGUGCCUUUCGUCGUUUAUAUGACGUUGUGUGGCCUGGUUGUGGAUUGUGUUUCUAUACGCCCAUUUUGUGCCUUUCCCUGCUCUCUUUGCCUACUCGAUUCAACCAUUGUCUUCUUUUUGGAUAGCUUCCUUUCUAAGCAGAAGCUUCGUGUUCAAUGUUUGGUAUUAGCUGUCUUCUAGUGUCCAAAGCCUUCUUCUCCUUGGUGUUCGCGGUGUGUGUUUGCUGUCUCAAACCUUCGUAGCUCUCGGUCCAUAGAUUGGAUGUGUUGUUGAGAAGCUUUGCCUCGCUCCUUGUCUCUGCUUUCAGGUUCUGUUUAGAUCUGAUCUCUUAUGAAGGUUUCUAGCUAUACGUUAAAGGACGCUCUUGUCGUCAUCGUCGCAUCCGGAAGUGUGUUCGAGGUUCUAUGUGUGUCUAUGAGCGCUCUUUGCUUGUCGGGUUCUGAGAUCCUUGGUUUCUUGAGAGAUUGGCUCUCUUUAUGAUAGGAGGUGGUAGAUGUUAUUUCUGGUUUGGCCGUGAGCAUCCAUGAUAAAUCGCAUUCACAUGUGUUCAGAAGGAGAGGUUGCUUUGUUCUCUUAGUUAUUUCUUGCCUCUUUAGGGUUUGUAGCUAGUUUCUUCUGCUCCUAGAUUAAGGAGUUGUCCUCUUUCGAUUGUGUUUGACAUUAUUUGCUUUGUAUUUCUCGUUCAGUUCUUUUGGUCCUCUUUGAUAGGGUUUAGAUUCCGGGAAAUUUGUUUGUUCCUCUGGCAAUGUCUCCGGAGACUUCAGUUGUCCGUCGGCUUAAGUGUCCCUUUUUGGACUUUUUUUUGUAAUCGGAUAAUAAAAAUUCAAGUUGAAAAAAGGGUUUUGUGCAAAAAACCAUUUAAGUAAUAUUUUUUUGCAAGACUACUCACCACAUCAAAUAAAUGCAGGUCAAUACUAUAAUCUCAAAAGUCACCCACAAUAUAACCCUUCUCUGUAUCGAUGACGUGACAGUUUAAACACCUUGCUGUUUUGAAGACAAAAAAAUGACAAAACGUUAAAAAAAAAUUAUAAUAAAAAGUAAAAAAAAAAUUUGUCUUCUUCGUUUGCAUCUCUGCAACCAAAAGAAAUCAUAGAACUUGCUGCUCAUUCAAAUACAAUAUUAUUGUCUCUCGUGUGUUCUAAAUACAAAAAUUAUUGUCUCGAAUGUUCCAAACACAAGGAGCAUUUUUCUCCACCAGAUGAAAAAACAAUAAGAAACAAAUCUGAACCAC
rnacentral:lncRNA from 1 species